AAAUGCAAACUUAAAAACACAAAAGAAAGACAACAGUAGAAUAACACAGAAGGUUUGAUAAGAUGAACUUAGAAAUCUCUAUUUAAAAUAUAAUAUUUUAAAAGGAUAAAACUUUAUUGUAUUUUCAGUCUUUGCAACAGGGUUAAACAGCACAUCUGGGAUUAUUAUGUUUGAUUUCACUCAUAAUUCACCAAGCAGGAAUGCAAAGUCUGCAGUGCUUGCUGAUCUCAGAAAAGAUUACAUGUUAUAAGGACUGUCUGUGCGAUGUUUUGGUCAGUGCAGCUGGAUCCCUCCUUCUGUGCUGAGAACACACAAUCCACCAGUCAGGUACCACCCUCAGCCUCUUACAAAACCUUACUGGCUGGAGAUCUGACCCUAUGCUCAGCACACUGGGUAGGACAGCUGCCACCACUUGAGUGGAAAUCCAGCUGGGAUUUAAAUUGUUGAGUGCUUCCAGCUCUCUGUUUCUCUUUCCUAGCAGUCUGUAGGUUUCUGUCCUUUGAUGACAUGAUCUUCAGAGGCUACUCCGGCUCUAUCAGGAUGGUGCAAAACAGUGCUAUACCUCCUCCGGGGUGGUGCAUGUGAGUGAUGCAUUUGCUUAAUAUGGGAUGGCUGACAGCCUGCUGGUGCAUCCCCUGCUGAUCUACAGGGAUCAAGUGAUUUCUUGCUUCCUUGUUAACUGCUGGUGGUGAAAUAUAUUCAGGUUUUUGAGGUUUCUUUGAAAUAAGUGUCUCUUACACAUCUCUUGUCCAAAUGGAUACUGGUCAAUCAUGAAAAGUCAAGGGACUGAGAGG